AAGGUAUUACCUGCUGGAGACAAUUUUAUAUUUUACAUUAUUUUGUGACACUGUGAGAAAGAACAAGCCAAUGACAUUGCAUUAGCACUGUGCUGUCAGGAUGAGGACAGAGCAUGGAGAUGGAGAUGGGGGUCUCCAGGGAAGACUGAGGUUCAGAUGAAAGGAACCAAGCGAGACAGCGAGAACAUCUUCCAGACUUUAGGAGACAGAGGAAAG
rnacentral:lncRNA from 1 species